rnacentral:lncRNA from 1 species
UACAGAAAUCAACCGAGGAAUAAUAGUUGACACAAAAGAACAAUCAUUUAAAACCCUAACAAAAUAAUAGUAGACAGUAACUUCCAAGGUCAAAACUAACAAAAACCAAAUCAAACGUAAGAAUCAAGAAAGCAAAAAGUCAACAGCAUGAAGAUCAAUCAAGAGGAAAAUAGAACUAGAAGAAAUCGUCUGUUAACAUAUUAAAUAUCCUACAACACCACCAGAGAGUAAACACCAAAUCAAAGAAGAUAUGGUUUCAGAACCAAAAGAUAUAAUCAACAUAAAAAGAAUUUAAUGGAGAUCACCAAAUCAAAAAUUGAAAUGCUAAACUCCAUGCUCUGAAGAAGGUUAUUAGUUGGACACAACCACGCUGCAGAAAAACACGUUCAAAAAUCAACUUGUAUGCGUUGCAAUCAAAGACCGGAAAUAAAAAUAGUAAAGAAUGACCCAUAAAAAAUUGAUUUAGCUAUCUGGAGUUAUUUUCCAUUCUGGUUGUUGUAUCAAGGCAUUCUGGAUAUCCACCAUAUUUCUCAGCUUUCUGCGAAACGGGAUAAAUGCAUCUCCCUGCAAAACUCACACAGCUCAAAGAAUCCGACAAAAGUAGAUGUUGUGUAUCAAAUCAAACAAAGACUAAAGCGUAAAAGUCUUGGUAGUGAUGACCAAACUAAAGUGCAGCCAUAGUAGGAAGCGUCAGUAUCUGACACAUGACAUUGAGAAGUGCUUGGGCUGUAUCAAAGAUUCAAAGAUGGUAUCUAAUUCCAUAAUUUGCACUUAGCCAAAGAUGUAAGUCCCUGAUAACAGAAACACAAAAACCUCAACACGGAAGAAACACAAACUUCAACAACUUAUACAAGAUCAAAAGAAAACUUCAAGAAAAAUACGCUCUCAGAAUUGAAAACAAAAAUAAUUUAAUAGAUAUCACCAAAUCAAAAAGCUAGGCUGAUGUAUGCUUCGAAGAAGAUUUAGAACAUUCAAUUAUAAGUAUUCCAUACUGAAACAAUGUAAGGCUGAAGACGAAGACGACUAUCGCAGUAAGACACUCGUUUUGAGGUAAGAGGGGUACCUGCAAAAAAGGUUAGCACUCCGACGCUCAAGUUAGUAUAUGAAUGAAGUGAAACUUUACAAAUAUGAAUAAAAAAAUACCUGAUUGGGAUGCAGAAUCACACAUAUAUAUAGUAGAGAUACUACUCAUCUUUGGUUUGUCUAGCAUGAAGUGUAGACUACCAAGUAGUUGUAGAUCAACAAUUGAGAUGAAAGAGGGCCGGUGUUCUUGUCCGUUUACCAAUAUUUAGCAGAGUGAACGUCUAGAUUAGAUUACACAUAAAGAUUGCUGCAAAUCUUAAUGAACUUCUGACUAAUCCAGUAAGCAUCAUAAAAAAAGGAAUGGCAUACUCCAAAAUUAAAGAUGUAUAUUAUAUAUAUUGUUGUAUGAUGGGCUAUUAAUGUAAAAUAAUCGCGAUAAUGGUGCUAUCAUCUGAAAGAUGUAUAUUAUAUAUAUUGUUGUAUGAUGGGCUAUUAAUGUAAAAUAAUCGCGAUAAUGGUGCUAUCAUCUGAUAAUUAUAUACCAAAACUGCUUUGUCAAUCAUCUGAUAAUAUAUCUUGCGCUUAAAGAUGUGUACUGUAUCCACUAACAAACACCACAUUACUAUAUUGAAUUCCAAAAUCUAUAUAAAUCACAAUGAUCUUCAAAUUAAAUAUAACAAUAAAGAAUAAAGUAUCUAUAUACAAAUAGAUAUCUUCAGAUUUUUUGACAUAGAUCUUCUGAUUAAAAUCUAGAAAUAGUGAGAACAUAGGACACAACCAACAGAAUAUUUAUGUUUGGAACAAUUGCCAUCAAAUUGCAUAUUUUGGAUCUCAAUAUGAGCACAAUUUACCUUACCAAACACCAGAUGGAGAUACUUCCCCAAACCACGCUGUUCACUCUACAAAGUGAAACAAGUUUUCUACAGAAAUGUAUAUGACUCAAAUUCCUUAGAGAUUAUCUUACAGUCUGCAGAACAUGAUGGUUCUAAUAAUGAAUUCUGGUGCCCAAUGAAAUCCUUAGAGAGGAAACGAAUUCCUAUUCCAAUAAAUCAGAAAUAAAAGAAACAAACAGUAAAAGAGUGCAAGAAUAACUCUCUUCAGAUGUAGAUCAUCAAAUCAAACACGGCCACAAUUUGCUUAAAAACGGAGAAGGUAGCGAGAAGAGAUAUGCUCCACAAUUCUGUUCAGCAUUAUGCAUGCAAUCCAGGGAGGACUAUUGUGGAACAAAUAUACACAGUCCAUAUGAAACGGAAAAAAUUUCAGCAUCCCCACUUCAAUAAAUAUCCACUAGGGAGAAUGUAGAAAAAUGUGAGCCAAAUCAAGUCGUCAAGAAUUCCUUGGCUCGGCCAUAAAGAUGUACUUCAGUCUAGAAACUGGUAUGCUUCAAAUAUUAUGCUCCUGCUACAAAAUUACAAAUACAAAAACUCCCAACACUCCCAGAACACACCAUAAAAAAAAUACAGAUAUCAUAUAAAAGAAGGAUUGUAUUUGUAUCCCAACGUUGGAAGAAUAGUAUGUUAACCUCUGUUGCCGAAUAGCAUGUUAAACUAUGUUGCCACAAGCCAUAUGGCACAGCACACCAGACUUUCAUAUGGGUUGUCUCUGUCUCCCCUAUAACACUCCAAAAAAUUCAAAAAACUAUGUUGCCACAAGCCAUAUGGCACAGCACACCAGACUUUCAUAUGGGUUGUCUCUGUCUCCCCUAUAACACUCCAAAAAAUUCAAAGGAAUUCAAAAUUGCCGAGUAUCAAACACACUGAAGUAUGAAGAGUCUUCUUAGUAGAAAUGACCAAAGUAUAGAAUACAACAUAACCUCUAAAGACAUAAUGGUUCGUGGACAUAAAUAUCCAGCCAAUUUGCAAGUACUUGUAUCCAAUAUGAAACAUGACAGUUUGAGCUUCCACCUAAUACCAAAGGAUCUAUUGUCAAAUCGUACCUAACCAAGAUGCCCAAAUUAAACCCUAGAAAAUAUAUACACCAGCUACCACAACAUUUUGAAUGAGUUAUCCUUUUUAAUUCGUUCACCAAAGAUAAUUUAUACAAAGCAGCAGAGACACUCAUCUCCAAUUUCUCCACUAUAGACCAAAUAAAAAUGUGAGUGUGAUUCAGAAUUAAGAAAACUUUUGUUGUACAGCAAAGUUACUCUGUCAGCAACAUACGAUAAAUGUACAGAAAAAUUAAACUGCCAAAUAGGUUGUAGAAAAAGGACCCAAGAAGAAAGAAAGAAUAUAGCAUAACUCUCCAAACCAAGUUGCAGAUCCAGAUAACAGAGAGAGGCCCACCAAUUUGUCCGAAUGUCUAGAAAAUUAUGUAAACUUUUGCACUUUCUGAAUACAAAAACCCAAAUGUAGAACAAACAUUUGUAAGACAAAAGUAGUAAUGAUUAAAAACCCUUAAGACUGAUCUUUUCAAUUAAACAUCAAUAGACAAACUAAAACUAAAAGAUCCAGUUGGAAAUCAUAAAGGAAUUAAUAAGAAGCCUAGACAAAAAGAAUCAGCAGAGAAGAAAUCAAAUGAAAAUAUCUCAGUACCAAAAAAACUAGAGCCAUAUUUCAAUUCACAUGUAUGGCAAUAAAAUCCAGAACAAAAUGAAACCUCAAUAUCAAGAAACCAUAAAGGAACCAUAAUACAAAACCCGAAGAAUAAUAUGCUCACAAACUACUUUUCCUGAAACACCAGAGAAAAUAAAAGAUCAAGAAUAAUAUUUUUUUAAAAGGAAUAAAUUUUUUUAGAAAACUAAAAAGAGAUUUUACAAGAGUUCACCAAAUCAAAACGCAGGCUCCAUGAUCUAUUGAAAAUUAUACUGACAAACCAAGCUGCAAAAAAAAGGUUUAAAAUUCAAAUAGUAUGUCUUGUGAUCAAAGUCUGAAAAUAAAAAUAAUAAAGAAUUGCAAUCAUAAUCCUUCUUAUCCAUGGUAAUCAAGAAGUGCAAACUGAUCCAGAUACCUCGAAAUCAGCUCACUACAAUACAGAUAAUCACAUGUCAAUAUUCUUUUAAUUUUAAGAGCAUUGAAUGUUUAGCAAAUGAAGCAUUAUUAUAUAGAAAAACUACACAAAUUAUCAAAAUAGAAUUCAAAGAACAAUCAAUUAAAACCCAAACAAGACCAUUAAAAAAAGAAGAGCAAACUCCAAGAUCAAACCCCUUCAUCAUAAGACCCAAUGUAACCAAGGAAAAGAGAGAGUAGGAAUAUAAAAACUUGAAUAUCAAAGAAGAGGAAGAUUGAAUCCGAAGGAAUUGUGAUCAUAUAUUCCUAUAUAUUACAUCUCCUGUAACACCAAAGAGGAAGAUAACAGAUAUAUGCUCUCAGAAUUGAUAAAGAAAUACUAUGAUAAAGAAAUACUGAAACGGAAAGUGACAAGAGAAGCUCUGCACUAUUAAGAACAUUAUUUUACCAUGCCUUACUAAGAGAAGUCAAACUCCUGUGACGCCAACAUAGAACUCAUGCAAGAAUUCAAUCAGAGGAGAUCACAACAUGAAAGAACAACAACAGCUGCAAAUUGCAGAUUCUGGUGCUACUGCAAUUGCAGAUUUUGUGGGGGACACUCAUUUGGGAAAAAAAUCUUACAACCUUAAGACAGAAAAUUCAAACCAAAACUCCAGAGAGUUGCCAACAAAUUAAACUCAAAACAACAUACGUACAGAAAUCAUAAGAAUAAUAGUUGAAGCAAAAGAACAGUCAUUUAAAACCCUAACAAAAUAAUAGUAGACAGUUACUUCCAAGGUCAAAACUAACAAAAACCAAAUCAAACCUAAGAAUCAAGAAACCGAAAAAUUAACAGCCUUCUCAAACAAGAGGAAAAUAGAACUAGAAGAAAUCGUCCGUUAAGAUAUUAAAUAUCCUGCAACACCAGAGAGUGAACACCAAAUCAAGGAAGAUAUGGUUUCAGAACCGAGAUAAUUAAAAUAAAAAAGAACUUAAUAGAGAUCACCAAAUUAAAAAUUGAAAUGCUAAGCUCCAUGCUCUGAAGAAGGUUAUUAGUUGGAGACAACCACGCUGCAGAAAAACACGUUCAGAAAUCAACUUGUAUGCCUUGCAAUCAAAGACCGGAAAUAAAAAUAGUAAAGAAUGACCCAUAAAAAAUUGAUUUAGCUAUCUGGAGUUAUUUUCCGUUCUGGUUGUUGUAUCAAGGCAUUCUGGAUAUCCACCAUAUGCCUUGCAAUCAAAGACCGGAAGAGUUGGUAUCUGACACAUGACACAGCAAUGCUUGGGCUGUAUCAAAGAUUCAAAGAUGGUAUCUAAUUCCAUAAUUUGCACUUAGCCAAAGAUCUAAGUCCCUGAUAACAGAAACACAAAAACCUCAACACUGAAGAAACACAAACUUCAACAACUUAUACAAGAUCAAAAGAAAACUUCAAGAAAAAUAAGCUCUCAGAAUUGAAAACAAAAAUAAUUUUGUAGAUAUCACCAAAUCAAAAAGCUAGGCUGAUGCAUGCUUCGAAGAAGGUUAUUGUUUUGACAAAGCAAGCUGCUGCUGCAGCAAAACAGGUUCGAAGUUAAAGACUUGUUGAAGAAGUUAAAUUUAUCUAUCUGGAGCUGUUCUAUGUUCUUAAGGUUUUAGAUAUGAAGCUAAUCCUGGCUUUGCUGCAUAAUGGUUAAACAUAUCUCUUACUUAUCAAAUGAAAACUUGUGUCAAGUCAGUUUCAUGUGUGUGCUUCAACAAUCUGAAGCAUGCAUUGCAAAUCCAUUAAGAAAACGCGAUCAGCAACCUGAACGCAACGCAAAUCCAUCAAGUAAACACGAUCAGCCAUCUAAGAAAACAUAUAACACGCAACUACUAAUUCCAUUAAGAAAACACGACCAGCAACGCAAAUCCAUUAAGAAAAUACGAUCAGCAAUCUAAGAAAACUUAUCCAGCCGCAACGAAACCCAUUAAGGAAACACUAUCAGCAAUCUUACGCAACGCAAAUCCAUUAAGAAAACACAAUCAGCAAUCUGAGGAAGACGCAACGCAAAUCCAUUAAGAAAACACAAUCAGCAAUCUGAGGAAGACGCAACGCAAAUCCAUUACGAAAACACGAUGCAACGAAAUCCAUUACGGAAACACGAUCAUCAAUCAGCAAUCUGAGAAACGCAACGCAAAACCAUUAAGAAAACACGAUCAACAAACCCUAACAUCAAGCCAUGACGAAGCAAACAAUCUGGAAAAUUCGAGAAAUAAAAAUUAUUGAAGAAAUUUGAUUUCUCUAAAGCCAUUCUCAAUCAAGCAAACAAGUAGAACUUAAAAGAAGAACAAACGAGAGAAAGAUAUAACAAGCUAUUUUUGGUAUUUCGGAACGAGGGUAGAGAGGUUUAUAUAGAAGGUAGGAUCGAGAUUAAUGCGGUGUAAUCACGGAUGGAGGAAAAUUUGACGGCCAAGAUGCAAUUAAAAUAAAACUGUUUCGCGGUUUUCUCUGAAUAACGC